rnacentral:rRNA from 1 species
GGCCGUUAAUGACGCUCAUGCACGAAAGUGCGGGGAUCGAACAGGAUUAGAUACCCUGGUAGUCCGCACAGUAAACGAUGAAUACUUGCUUUCGGCGAUAGAUGGUCGGAGGCAAAGCGAAAGCGAUAAGUAUUCCACCUGGGGAGUACGCCGGCAACGGUGAAACUCAAAGGAAUUGACGGGGGCCCGCACAAGCGGAGGAACAUGUGGUUUAAUUCGAUGCUACGCGAGGAACCUUACCCGGGCUUGAAAGUUAGCGACGGCGGAUGAAAGUCUGCUUCCCUUCGGGGCGCGAAACUAGGUGCUGCAUGGUUGUCGUCAGCUCGUGCCGUGAGGUGUCGGCUUAAGUGCCAUAACGAGCGCAACCCUUUUCUCCAGUUGCCAGCAAGUUAGGUUGGGGACUCUGGAGGCACUGCCAUCGCAAGAUGUGAGGAAGGAUGGGAUGACGUCAAAUCAGCACGGCCCUUACGUCCGGGGCGACACACGUGUUACAAUGGGAGGGACAGAAAGCUGCGAAGCCGCGAGGCUGAGCCAAUCUCCAAACCUUCUCCCAGUUCGGAUCGGAGUCUGCAACCCGACUCCGUGAAGCUGGAUUCGCUAG